GUGCUUGCUUCGGAAGCCCAUGUACUGAAAUAGGAACGAUGCAGGGAAGAUUAGCACGGCCCCUCACAAGGCUGACACAUACAUAAAUGAAGCAUUACAGAAACAA
ensembl:snRNA U6 U6 spliceosomal RNA